UCUAGAACUCGAGAUAUGGGCUGAACACUAAAUAGUAUCUGGGCUACAGGACAGAUUCCAACUUCUCCGUUGUUGCUAUCAUUUAAACUAAAAAAUGGCACUUUUAAAUCUUAGACUUAGCAUGAAAGUUUUAGGCCUAUGUCUUAGCUUUCCAUA
rfam:Populus trichocarpa scaffold_2_contig_202, whole genome shotgun sequence.